ACAGGCAAACUGACAGUAGCUAUGACUACACACUGUGACAGUACAACGCUCAAGCGUGAUACGGUGCAAUAUUUUCGGAACUUCAGCAUUGUUACUGCAGGCAUCUCUCCAACACCCACGCUCCCGUUCCCCUCUCCAACCCCCUGAUACACACUCCUGUUCCUGGAAACCCAUAAACUGGAGAAUUAUUAAAAGUUCAGCAAUACGCAGACUCAGAGCCUCCCAGUGCAUGAUGGGCAGCCCUAAGUCAUCGUCAUUGAUCCCCUCCUGCCAGACAGUGGCUGCUCCUUCCACAGCCUGACCAAAGUCCUCCGCUUCAUCGCUUUC